rnacentral:lncRNA from 1 species
GCAUCGCAGUUGGUCCAAGAGCCCCGAGCCCGCGGGGCCGCCGUUCUCGCUCUCAUUCUUGCUCUCGGCCCGGGGACUGGGGUGGCCUGAGCCGAGGCUCCCGAAACCAGUCCUGCGGCUCCUGCGGUUCGCGAGGGCACCCUCUCCACUUCUGCCUCCUCGUCUGCCAAGCGCGUCUGUUGCUCUCGCCGCUGCUGCUGCUGCGGGAGCAACAAGCCGGGACUCAGCCUCCUGAAUGAGGACCAGGAGGAGCAGUGGGACAUAAAGCACAGUGAGAAGGAGAAUAGUGGCUGGAUUCAGACAGCCUGAGUUUGAAGCCCUGCUUUGCCACUUAAUACCUAUAUGACCUUGGGUGUCAAGAAUUUACCUGAGCUACUCACGGUAUUGCUGCCUCAGCGUCCAUUUUAUUUGCAGGACUUUCGGGGACCCUAAACUGAUGAGAGGCCCCAUGAGGCAGUCUACAAGCCAGGAAGAGAGAUCUCACCAGAAACCAACCCUGAUGGCACCCUGAUCUUGGAUUUCAAACCUCCAGAAUGCCUGAAGUUUCACAUGAGGAAGACAGCAUGAAGAAAGUCAACGUCUGACUGUGUCUUUUCAAUGAUCCAUUAAUCUGAACCAUGAGGUUGCAGGUUCGAUCCCUGGCCUUGCUCAGUGGGUUAAGAAUCUGGCGUUACUGUGAGCUGUGGCAUAGGUCACAGACACGGCUCGGAUCUGGCGUGGCUGUGGCUGUGGCUGUGGCUGUGGCCGGCAGCCACAGCUCCGAUUCAACCCCUAGCCUGGGAACCUUCAUGUGCCACAGGUGCAGCCCUAAAAAUUUUAGACCAAAAAAAAAAAAAAAAAAAAAAAAA